rnacentral:lncRNA from 1 species
CAAGGUUACACAGCUAGGGAGUGUCUAAUAAAUGCUACUUUCCUUCAGUUCUUUUUAGGCUAUUGACUCCCGUGGGCAGAAAAUGAGACUGGUCCCUAAAGCUCUGCUCUGAACAUGAGAUCAAGUGUCCCUAAUCUGUUUCCUCAUUCCUCUGCUUAUAAACGUGCACUUUUGCUUGGCAGGUACAAUUGUAGGUAGUUUAUAGGAUUUUGUAAAAGCAAAAUUCCUUUUAACAUUUUAGGUUGUUGAGAUAAGAGUAUGCUUGUUUUCAUUUUUCAGUAAUUUGCAGCCAUUGGUGCUUUCCUUCAGCUGGGACUCUGCAUAAGAAUGGCCCAGAAAAGGGACAAUGACUGAGCAGCAGUCUUCUUGGGUGGAAUGUAUGAUCCAGGGCUUUUCUGGAAAGUGAGCCGAGCCUGCUCCAGCUUGCCAGGGAUGGUAAGCAGUUAUUAUUAUUAUUUUUUAAUGGCCACACCUGGAGCAUAUGGAAGUUCCCAGGCCAGAGAUUGAAUCUGAGCUGCAGCCACAAUCUAGGCCAAUGGAGGGAUCCUUUAACGCACUACACCCAGGAGGGGAUCUAAUGAGUGCCUCAGCAGCUGCUGUAAUCAGGUGCUUAAUCCACUGCACUGCAGUGGGAACUCCUGGAGCCAGUUCUUUUUUUAAUGGUUAUCUCUAAACUGCAAAGACAAAACAAACUGCUUAAACAUUAGCUAGCAGUGCCUUUGUCCCUCCUGCUCACCUCUCCAGCCCCCUCUUCUCCACUCCAAGGUCCAGUCUAGGCUCAGCCUAGGGGGACGGUGGAAAUGAGCGGUGGGAGAGCGCGAGGCCUCCCUGAAAGCUCUCUAGGCUCAGGUCCCCUCUACGCCGCCCUCCCACGCCCGCUAGGCUUCAGGGGUCACUGAGGCUGCUGUGGAACCCGGGCCCAGCCCCUCGCUUUAUUAAAGUCUCUCUAAAUUGCCCACUUUGCAGGGGACAGCUGGUUUCUGCCUCUUACACCACUGAUGUGCACAAGGGAUAUUUCAGACCCUCUCCUCUUAUCCAGGUCUCACUCCCACAGCAUCCAGUCAAAAUGACCUCCACCUGGGCCUCCCUCCAUUCGAAGGGGUCCAGCGCCCGGGAGAUCCCAGCUCAUUGUAUUUAAAGGAACUGAUGGGCCUCGAGUCUGGAAGCCUGAAUACAUCCCGGGAGGAGGUCCCGCGGGAAACUGACAGAUGAAUAUUCCAAGCCCAGGCCUUCCAAAGUGUUCGAGAGGCACCCAGCUAGGUCCGCUGUCCCCGGGGUCUGACUGAGACGUCCUCUUUGUCAGCGCCUCUGCUACAGGCAGCAGCGCGCCCAAGACCUUCGGGAGUUCCUGGCUGAGAAUUAACCCCACCUCCUCCCACCAGCUCCACCAAUAGGAGGGCAGGGGUGACACCUCCCCUGCAUCAGCCACCAAUGAGCAGCCCGGAUCCUGUGCCCGGCCUUAAAAACGCCGGGAGGUGGGGCACCUUUAGGAGAUGCUGUCCUUUUUGUCCUGCCUUGCUCCUGGGAUGCUGACCGCCGGCCUGUCAGCUUUCGGAGAAACAGGAAACGCUCGCAGGCUGGUCCACCCUUGGCACUCUUGGUUAUUUCCAGGUCCAGAAAGCAAUGUAAAACUCAUCCUGUUACGGUAAUAUGAGUCAGCUGAAUCCUGUUGGGGCUUCUUCCCCAGGUGCACACAUGUACGGUUGGGGGAUGGGGCAGGGAUUGGCGAGCAAAGGAUCCUAGACUCUGCAAGCGGGAGGUUGGUGAGCUUCUGACCGACUCUCUCGAUCAUUCUAAUUUCACAGACAAGGAAGGGGCGCGAUUUGCAAUCUCACCCCUGGCAGCACUAUUGCAUCCAACCCUGCUCUCUAAUGGCAGUGAGCUAUUUUCUAAGAAGUUUUUCUAACCCCCUGACCAAAGGCCUAGAAGCUCAGGUCAAAGACGCUUUGUUAAAAACUGGUUGUUCAGAACCUGAGGAGGGAUGAUCCUGGCAUAUUGAUGAAAGUGCCGCCUCCAAAAGCCCUUUCUGAUGAGUCCUAUUGGAGUGUUUGUUCCCUUUUCUGAAAUCCUGUUUCUAGGGAUCCCCCAAAGUAGCCUGUAAACGUUAUCAUUCACCUAUAUCAAUCCACAUUUCCUGUGUAAUGUCACUGCUCUUCUUGUGCACAGUACACAGAUGCCAGGCACCUUUUCCAUUCCCCCUCCUACCCAACCUGAGGGUGUGUGUUGAACUUGGAUGGAUAGUCAUCCUAGGACAGAAGCCCAGAAGUCCAAGGACUGGGAUUGAAGAAGGUCUGAGUGCUGAUGCCGCGGCCAUCCAAGCUGGGACAAAGCUUUCCGCAGCCCAGUCAGGGAUGGGGGGUGGGGGAGGGAUGGGGGGAGUGGUGCCAGAUGGGACUGUUUUCUGAGGCAGGGCAGAUAAGACUUCUUUUUUCCCCACUACCCUGCAACUACUACUAAUGGUGGUAUUAUUAAGAGCUUACCAUGGAGCAUGUGUUUUAAUUACUUCUCUCAACCCUAAUGGGUGGAAACUAUCAAAAUUCCCAAUUUAAAGAUGAGAAAACUGAGGCACAGAGGAGUGCCUGACAUGGUUCAGCAGAAACAAGUCUGACUAGCACCCAUGAGAAUGCAGGUUUGAUCCCUGGUCUUGCUCAGUGGGUUAAGGAUCUGGCAUUGCCAUGAGCUGUGGUGUAGGUCACAGAUGUGGCUCGGAUCUGGCGUUGCUGUGGCUGUAGUGUAGGCCAGCAGCUACAGCUCUGAUUCGACUCCUAGCCUGGGAACCUCCACAUGCUGAGGAUGUGGCCCAAAAAAGC